UGAGGAAUAUUGGUCAAUGGACGCAAGUCUGAACCAGCCACGUCGCGUGAAGGAAGACGGCCCUACGGGUUGUAAACUUCUUUUGUAAGGGAAUAAAGUGAGCCACGUGUGGCUUUUUGCAUGUACCUUACGAAUAAGCAUCGGCUAACUCCGUGCCAGCAGCCGCGGUAAUACGGAGGAUGCGAGCGUUAUCCGGAUUCAUUGGGUUUAAAGGGUGCGUAGGCGGGAUAAUAAGUCAGUGGUGAAAGUUUGCAGCUUAACUGUAAAAUUGCCGUUGAAACUGUUAUUCUUGAGAGUAGAUAAGGUAGGCGGAAUGUGUUGUGUAGCGGUGAAAUGCAUAGAUAUAACACAGAACCCCGAUUGCGAAGGCAGCUUACCGGGCUACAUCUGACGCUGAUGCACGAAAGCGUGGGGAUCAAACAGG
rnacentral:rRNA from 1 species